AGAGGAAGCUGCCGAGGCUAGAAAGAGAGCAGAGGAAGCUGCCGCUGAAGCUCG
rnacentral:SRP_RNA from 12 species